rnacentral:hammerhead_ribozyme from 1 species
AUCUAGCUGAUGAGUCCCAAAUAGGAAGAAAGGCGAGUCAAACUGGAU